rnacentral:lncRNA from 1 species
UCUUUCUUUUGUAAAAAUUUAGAGCCAGCAGGGUUAUGCCGAUGGGCAUUCUAGAGAGCAUUAAGAACUAUUGGUUGAGGGCAUUGGCAGCCCCCAGCUACUUCUAUAACCAUUUCUGGGUCUCUGUCAAGAUCCUGGUAUAAAGAUUUCUUAAUAAAUACAUAAAACCCAGACAAGAGUCCACACUUGGUCUAAAUCAUUAUGAUGACCGUCUUACACUUGCUGACUACCCCAUUAAAUCUCUGCACUGAAGACUAAUGCUUUGAAAGUGUGUGCAUAUGUGUGUAUGUAUGUGUGUUUCUGAACAGAUCUUUUAAUUCAGAAAGUAGAUGACUAUUUUUUUUAAAAGGAGAGUUUCCAGUAGAUAAAGAAAUAUAAGUAAGGAACUAGUGGUCAGGAAAGAACUUAGCUGGAGGUAACAUGUCUGUUUUGUCAGAAGUCAGUAUCUGACCAUCAUCAGCAUAGGGAAAUCUCUGGUUUCUCUUCAAAAGUCUGAGCGCGAUUUUUAACUUUCCUCUGAUGUCUAUUACCAUUACCUGGAUCUCCACAGAGAAAGCUUCAGAUGAUUCAGUAUUUUCUAAAGCUUACUGGAUUUAAUUCUCCCCUUCCCCUUGGUGACUGAAAAGAUUGCAGCCUAUACAUCUGUUGGCCCUCUCCACUACACACCCCACUGACAAAAUCUCUUCCCAUAGUUUUCCAAGGAUAAAUGUAAGUUGCUUCCUAAAAUUAGCAUCCAAUACCACCAGGAACUGAGAAAUGAAGAGUAUUGAGCAAAAAAUUUUCUGUGAAGGCAAGGACCAAAUACAUUCAAAGAACAUUUAAGGGCAGAGGAAGAGAGUUCUGUAUCCAUCCCUUAAGCUUUUUUCUGCUCAUGGAUCUACUCUUCCUCUGGGGAAACUUGUUCUCCCCUCAAAGAACUUGCUUGUUCCAGUCUAACAGUGGACUGUGGACUAUUCUGUUGAUAUGCUAAUUUUCUCUGCAGAUGCUUGCCUUUUCACGUUUAAAGAUUUGUUUAUUAGAGAAAGAGAGAGAGAGAGAAAAGAGAAAGUGAAAGAGGGGAGGGGGGCAGAGGGAGAAGGAGACAGACAAUCUCAAGCAAACUCUGCACUAAGUGCAUAUAGCCCAACAUGGGGCUUGAGCUCAUAACCCUGAGCUCAUGAUCUGAGGGUAAACCAAGAGUUGGAUGCUUAAACCAGGCACCCCUCUUUUUCACAUUUUAAAUGAGCAUAGAAACAAGAAGAGCCCACAUGAGGAAGAAUUCAGAGUGCCUGGCUGAAGUUGCUAGUAGUAAAGCAUAGAGGUCUGGGGGUGUCCAGGCAAGUUAUUUAUCCCAAUUUGCCAUGAACAUUCCACCAGAUUCAGAGGUAAAGUGAUUACUUUCUGAGAAAAGUAUCCUGCAGAGAACUACCAUGAAGGUCUGUUUUUUCAGUGACACAUAUUAGAUUGUUCCCUAAGGUGGGGCAGGAAUAUCUCCCUUAGGAAGCCAUUACUUCCAGGUCGAGCUAUCAGCAAACCAUCCCCCAUCUUUGGUCUAAUUAAACUAUACACAUUUGGGGCGGGGGCAUAAACUAGAGAUGCUGACAUGUCAGCAUUUAUGCUGCUGACACAAAUGUUCUGCAUAGAGCUGAUGUAAAUGGUGCUGACAUAAACCUUCUCCUUGAGAACAGCUGUUAGAGGUGCUUUUUCACUAUCUUCCAGUGGAUUAACUUUCAGCAUUGUCUGGGCUAAGAGGUGAAGCAUCUACUCCUGAUAUUCAGUCCUCUACUAUGACAAAUUAACCUAUUGAUUAUUCAAUUACUUAUUCCUUUCAUGCCAAUAACUACCUAAAUUAGAGCAUGACUCCUUUUAAAGUUCAAUAUUAGAAUAAGAAUGCAGGAAUAAUUAUCUUUGUACUAGUGUCUUAGUGUGCAGGGCUUUACAGAUGACAUUUGGUUUAAGAUGGAAAAUCGAGGCAUGAUUGUUUAUUGUAUAAAAUAAGUUACAUUGUAAUACAGAUUUCAUGUUAAUAUGACUUUUGAACUAUUGAGUUAACUGAGAGUUGCCACUGGUAAGAAUUUUGUAGAUGACUAUGAUGAAAGCUAUAGAUCUUCUUCAGGGAGAAUUGCAUACACACUUAACAUAAUACACACAAAUUUAAGGGGCUCAGGAACUCCUAAAGUUGCCUACAAACCCGAGAUCAAGAACCUCCUUCAUUGUUUCCAUUGAUCAGAGAUGGCAUUUGCCACCUACUUUUGGGGGUACGUUAUCCCCAAAAGAAUUUUCAAAGAUCACAUCUUCACUCAAAGUAUCAUUCUGUAAUAUUAAUACUCAAGAAUGUUGUGAGUUAGCAGGAUCUACUGGCUAUUGGAGGUGAAUUAGUUCAAGUCCUCCAAAAAGCUAUUGUCAAGGCAAGAUUAGAUGUGCAAAAAAUUCAAUGUGGGAAAAUGCCAGUGAAGGAUAAAAGAGGAGGGAGUAGGAGUUGUUAGGUGACCCUCCCUGCCUGGGAACUGAUCUGACACCUGGGAAGAAUCCCAGACCACAGUACUUUUCUAAAAAGUCUCACCCAGGCCAAGUUGGGAGUCCCUGAGCAAAGUCUGCACAUUAGAAGAGUUCCACUUGGGCAGGAUGGCCUGCACCUAGUACCCCACCUGCCCUAGCCCUGCCUGGGAAAAGCCAGGGUGGGGGAAGGGUAGCACUGUGGCAGAUUCAGAGAUGCAGCAACUAGAGACUGUAAGGCAAAUAUGGUCACCAAGAAGGGACUCUUGACAGGGGGUCUAAGCAGUGGUCCUCAUAGCCACCACACAGAAGUAAGAGGAGCUUUGUAGGUACAAAAGUACCAGCUCUUCUUUUUUCUCCCACUGCUUUACAUUUUGAUAGCUGCUACUCUUUGGCCAGUGUGACUCUGCCAGCCGAAGUAUACACAGGGACAGGUAAUAUGAUAUUGUAAAUUUGUGACUUAGUUUCUUGUCUCCAUACAAUACUGUAGCCACUCUAAUUGUUCAAUAAGGGGCUGAGGUGGCGAGAUCAUUAUCCAUAGAGGUUAAAUAUAUCAGCGUUUUUCUACCUUUACCUUUUGUUCUGGGGCACUCAGCAACAACAUUCCUGUUAAAUGGGAAGGGACUAUAUAGUUAAAAAUUGCUGUUUAAGUGUAGAGCCCAGAAUACUCACCAAUGUUUGACAGAAGCCAUGCUAAUAUCUAGUGUCUGUUGGUGGUAUCAGUGGGAUUAAGUCCAAAGAUUGGGGUCCAGUUUUUUUUUUUAAUUUCCCUCCACCCCACCAACCCUGUGACCCCUUUCUUUCACUUGUACUAAAAGACACAGAGAGGAUUCCCUUCCCUAACCUGUAGAGCAGAUUCUGGCCUUCCUCCUCAACCCGAGGGGUGGGUACUGCAUUCUCCAGGGGAGUGAGCUCUACUAGAAGUGGGCUUGGUCAGAGAGGAGGGUUCAAGAGACACAGACAGGAUGAGGAAUGUUAAAGGAGCUCAUCUAUGGUAGGAAAGUUGAAUGCUCCCAGGACUUGGGAGUUUUUGAGAAUUCAUUCAUUCACCAAAAAAAUAGUCAUGGGGCAGUUACUUUGUUUCAGACACUGUUCUAAGUACUUUGGACAUAUAAACAAACAAAAUAAAAUUUCCUACCCUUUGGUAGCUUACAUUCUAGUAGGGAGACAUUAAUAUGUACAUGAACAAAAUACAUAGAUAAAUUAUAUCUAAAUAAAUAUACUUCUAUAAAGCACGGCUUUUCUUAAAAUUGCUUUUUAGCACCAAUUGCCUCAUCUGCUAAUACCAAAAGCAGAGGUCUCUUCCUUCUGUUUUCUUUGCCCCCUUUAGGUUCUUUCAUCUUGCCUUCCUGUUUCUUCCCCAGGGAAGGAAAUACUUCUUUUGCAGAAAUUCAUGAAAAAAGCUUCCAGAAAGUCACUGACAGAGUAAAAUGACCCUGAGUGUAUUAUUUAGUGAAUAUUUUUGAUCUCUGCAAAGUCUGCUUUUUAACUAGACCUUAAUACAUUUUUCUAAAACCAGUUCAGAAAAUAUAUUUAAAACACAACUGGUUAAAACCAAAUUAAAACCCACAGGUAUUUAGUUCUAAAAUCAAUGACAAUAAUAAUAAUAAUAAUAAUAAUAAUAAAAUAAAAUCAAUGACAUUAACCUACCAAAGGCAGGCAUGGCACUGGAUGAAGACAGCCACAAGUCUCACUGAUUAUAAUCUAAAAUACACAGAUAUCCUCAGUAAUAAAUAGGGAAUGAGACAAUAAAAAGUACUCAACUGCGAGGAAGGCAGACAUUUCAAUUUUCCCUUUGCUACAUUAAACAGUACAGCCUGCAAUCUACAGAGACAAGAGGAGAGAGCCAAGUGAGAAAUAAUGACUCCAAGUGCAUAGGACUCACAGUUAAACCCUGACCCUAUUUCGGGGCCCAGCCCUAGAUCAGUAGAGCAUACACAAUUUCAGCUGGAUUUAAUGGAAGUCUUCUUUCCUUUUUCUCCUUCCUUCCUCUCUCCUUUUCCUUUUCCUUUUCCUUUUCCUUUUCCUUUUCCUUUUUUCCUUCCUUCCUUCCUUCCUUCCUUCCUUCCUUCCUUCC